ACCCAAAGGGCUUGGCGGUGUUUUAGACUUCUUAGGGGAGCUUGUUUCGUAAUCGACAAUCCACGAUAGACCUAACCUUUUUUUGUAUCCAGUAUGUAUACCGUUGUCGUCAGGUAACUUUUAAAAAUAUAAAAGCUAGCAAAUAAGUUUUUAACUUGUACGUCAAAUCAAGGUGCAACCCAUAAAAAGGAGAGAAUGAGCUACAAUUAAAAGUUAUAAUACGAAUAAAACACAUAAAANGAAUUUGAAGGAGGACUUAAAAGUUCAAAAAUAAUCCUAAAAACUUUUUGAAUCUANCUCUGAAAC
rnacentral:rRNA from 1 species